CGCGACCCCAGGUCAGGCGGGGUUACCCGCUGAAUUUA
rnacentral:rRNA from 1 species